GUUGGGUUAAGUCCGUAACGAGCGCAACCCUUGUCCUUAGUUACCAGCACGUUAUGGUGGGCACUCUAAGGAGACUGCCGGUGGACAAACCGGAGGAAGGUGGGGAUGACGUCAAGUCAUCAUGGCCCUUACGGCCUGGGCUACACACGUGCUACAAUGGUCGGUACAAAGGGUUGCCAAGCCGCGAGGUGGAGCUAAUCCCAUAAAACCGAUCGUAGUCCGGAUCGCAGUCUGCAACUCGACUGCGUGAAGUCGGAAUCGCUAGUAAUCGUGAAUCAGAAUGUCACGGUGAAUACGUUCCCGGGCCUU
rnacentral:rRNA from 1 species